AACUUUUAGCAAUGGAUCUCUUGGCUCUCGCAUCGAUGAAGAACGCAGCGAAAUGCGAUAAGUAAUGUGAAUUGGAGAAUUCAGUGAAUCAUCGAAUCUUUGAACGCACCUUGCACCCUUUGGCAUUCCGAAGGGUAUGCUCGUUUGAGUGUCAUUGUACUCUCACACUCCCGAUGCUUUUGGAUUGGGAGUGGUGGACUUGGGUGUUGCUGCUUUACUGUGGCUCACCUCAAAUGGAGUAGUGCAACUCUUGGUUGGACAUAGUACGGCGUGAUAAGUGUCUUCGCCGGCGCCUCAUUAGAGGGUGGCCGAUCGGGAGCUCUGUGCUUCAAACCGUCUUCGGACAACAUCUGACAACUUGACCUCAAAUCGAGUAGGACUACCCGCUGAACUUAAGCAUAUCAAUAAGCGGAGGCU
rnacentral:misc_RNA from 1 species